rnacentral:rRNA from 1 species
GACCGUCUCAGUUCGGAUCGCAGGCUGCAACCCGCCUGCGUGAAGUUGGAAUUGCUAGUAAUCGCGGAUCAGCAAGCCGCGGUGAAUACGUUCCCGGGCCUUGUACACACCGCCCGUCACACCAUGAGAGUCGGGAACACCUGAAGUCCGUAGUCUAACCGCAAGGAGGGCGCGGCCGAAGGUGGGUUCGAUAAUUGGGGUGAAGUCGUAACAAGGUACC